GGAAGUGAAAGUCGUAACAAGGUCUCCGUUGGUGAACCAGCGGAGGGAUCAUUACCGAGUUUACAACUCCCAAACCCAAUGUGAACCAUACCAAACUGUUGCCUCGGCGGGGUCACGCCCCGGGUGCGUCGCAGCCCCGGAACCAGGCGCCCGCCGGAGGGACCAACCAAACUCUUUCUGUAGUCCCCUCGCGGACGUUAUUUUUACAGCUCUGAGCAAAAAUUCAAAAUGAAUCAAAACUUUCAACAACGGAUCUCUUGGUUCUG
rnacentral:misc_RNA from 1 species